rnacentral:rRNA from 1 species
UCCCAACUAUCCCUAUUAAUCAUUACGUCAAUCCUAGAAACCAACAAAAUAGGAUCAAAACGUCCUAUUUCAUUAUUCCAUGCUAAUGUAUUCAAGCGUUAGCUUGCUUUAAACACUCUAAUUUUUUCAAAGUAACAGUCCAGUUUCCCCGCAACACCAAAUUAAUGGCAUUACGGUUCAUCAGGAAGGAGGAAUCAGUAAGACCAGUGCAUACCAGUGGCACGACCAACCUACUAACCCCGAAAUUCAAC